GUAAAAUAUGCACAGAAUUAACAUUUGGCAAUCCGAAACAGAGUUCUGGGCUGUCAAAGUCACGAGUUCCGGGGGUAUUACUAGCCCCCUGACAAACACAAGUACAAAUAUCUCUGAAUGUUCAGUGUUACAAGCAGAAACAUCGCACAUCCAGACUCCUACCAACAUAAUCAUUUUAAAUCACUGAAGUGGUCAUGAAGGUUGGAGUAACCUUUUAAGUAAUGA